rnacentral:misc_RNA from 1 species
GGAGGGUAUCUCUGGCAAGCUCUCCACAUCAAUUGCUGAUGGUAUUUCUACUUGUGACAAUUUACUUAAUAGAAGGAAAGAAAUUUAUGGGAUAAAUAAAUUCACUGAGAGCCCACCAAGGGGUUUCUGGGUUUUUGUUUGGGAAGCCCUUCAAGAUAUGACUCUUAUGAUACUUGGUGUUUGUGCCCUUGUGUCUCUCAGUGUUGGCAUAAUAGUGGAAGGAUGGCCAAAGGGUGCUCAUGAU